CGCUGAAAGAUGGGCUCGCGUCCGAUUAGGUAGUUGGCGGGGUAACGGUCCACCAAGCCGACGAUCGGUAGCCGGACUGAGAGGUUGAACGGCCACAUUGGGACUGAGACACGGCCCAGACUCCUACGGGAGGCAGCAGUGAGGGAUAUUGGUCAAUGGGGGAAACCCUGAACCAGCAACGCCGCGUGAGGGAAGACGGUUUUCGGAUUGUAAACCUCUGUCCUCUGUGAAGAUAAUGACGGUAGCAGAGGAGGAAGCUCCGGCUAACUACGUGCCAGCAGCCGCGGUAAUACGUAGGGAGCAAGCGUUGUCCGGAUUUACUGGGUGUAAAGGGUGCGUAGGCGGCCUUGCAAGUCAGAAGUGAAAUCUAUGGGCUUAACCCAUAAACUGCUUUUGAAACUGUAAGUCUUGAGUGAAGUAGAGGUAGGCGGAAUUCCCGGUGUAGCGGUGAAAUGCGUAGAGAUCGGGAGGAACACCAGUGGCGAAGGCGGCCUACUGGGCUUUAACUGACGCUGAGGCACGAAAGCGUGGGUAGCAAACAGGAUUAGAUACCCUGGUAGUCCACGCUGUAAACGAUGAUUACUAGGUGU
rnacentral:rRNA from 1 species